rnacentral:ncRNA from 1 species
GUCUCUGGAGAAUCUCAGAAAAUGAGUGCCGAAGGUGCAAUGCACAGCUGCUGUGCAGAAUCUCUCAGGCAAAAGGACAGAGUCAGA